CCAGACAAGACCAAAGAGUCUCUAAGUGGUUUGAGACCACCGAGAAAAAAAGGGUCCUUGGGUCACGUUCCACACGAGAUGUCACACUUCACAGACGCCACCGCAGCCAGAAGACUUCACAUCUCCUUCCUGCAUGUGAACGCUUGCCCUCCUUCCCCAUCCCUGUUUCUUCAGAUAUCGCCUCUCAGACAGGCUCAACUAAGUAACAAGUUACGGCAGAUACAGGGUGUCUCCCGGCAGCGAGCGUCAGCAAUUAAACUCUGCCUUAGGCAUUGAUCAGCUGGGACACAUCAGCAGAUGAUUGAAGACAACCCUACAUGCAAUUCUCAUGCAUAUGAAGACAACAGAAAUCAGUACGACAGGUUUCUUCUCUACCUACGUACAGCGGGUGAUAUGAGACAAUACAGCGAUUUAACCUCGGAAGCAGUUUACGUAAGACACUGCCUCCGCACCCCUUGCCGUCCCUCCGCCUGCACUGCGGCAGCUGGGCUACGUUACAUAGAUGACAGCACAACUCAAUGACUAACUCCCUGAAGACUGGUCUUUAUUAGCACCUGCCUUUCUCGGAAAAAAAAUGAGCUCAUAAUUAUUAUCAACUUUUCAGAAAGAUUUAAGUUUAAAAAAAACGGCAUCAUUUGAACUCUUCAGCAGUUUGUAUGUCAUUUACAUAUGAUAUAAAAGGAAAAUAAAACUGCAAACGAAGAUGCUAAAUAUUG